AUUAGAAAAAAGGAAUAUUUUCAAAAUAAUAACAAAUAUCUGAAUGAAAAACUGCAGAACUGGAAUGCCAACGGGGCAGCAUACUGCACAGGAUGAUUCAAAAGGGAUUUCUUCAUUCUCUUUCAGGGGAUUCCUUGUGUUCUUUGGAAUCCAGCUUUCAUCCGUAUUGCAGCCCUGUUUGUGGCAUAUAGUAUCCAACAAUGGAGAUUGGUUUUGGAGGGAAGUUGGAACAGCAGUUGAAUGCACAUGGCUGGUGUUGAUGGAACGACUGGACUUUGAAAAUGUUUUAUAUUUUUCUGAAUAAACGAAGAUGACUCAAAAUUCUGCAGAUUAUUGUUGCAACAUACACGUAUUAGAAGAGCAGCUGCAGCAACCUACAUCCAUAGGAAUUUAGGUUAAGCAUUCCUUAACCAGCAACAAAGAAACAUGUGCUUAAUUCUCUUAAGUGCCGAUAUUACUGUUCGAUGCAAUCUUUAACACCGAUAGUAAUUGGAAUGCUUCCCAAGUUAACAGUGAGUGUUGCCAUGAACAAAAUUCGAUCAAGGAUUUGUGGAUAAAAGAACGUGAUGAGUGAAGGGUGACCAAAUCAUCGCUGGACUGCCACACAAAAGAUGAGUAUGCAGCAACUUUCUCUUCAAGUCCUCUUCGUAGUGUUUGCGAGUGACUAUAUUGUAGGCAGACUAUGGUGAGAAAUGCGUGUGAUGAAGUUUGAGGUUAGGAUUUGCUUUUGUGUAUACUGUGCCUUGCUAUAACAAUCACCAUGUCUAGAUCUGGGAGUAUAGACAUUACAGGAGAAAAAUCUACUCCACCACAAUAAAGCCACAUAUUGACACCAAACCAGCAGCAAUCGUCGGAAAGCCCGCCAUUUUUGGGAUUUGGACCAAGUGAGCAAGCAUCUGGUUUACUAGCAAACAAGGUUUACAAAAGGACAUUAAAGACCUGAAAGAGGAUAUUGAUAGCAAAUUUGAAGGUUUAAAUCAUACUGUUGAUAACAUGAAUGAAUCUGUUACAACAAUUAAGCAAGAUAUUAAAGACACUAAUGAACAUGUAGCAGGCACUCUGUUAGAAAUCAGUCAGCUAGAUUUCAAACAGUUAAUGACAGGCUGGAAAAUACAGAAUCCCAUGUUAAGAGUACUGAGGAUUCCAUUUCCAAAGAACUCGAUAGACGCAAUGUAGAGUUUAAGGUCAUGAAUCAAUACAUCGACAAAAAAGUGCCUUUAUUGAGGAGAAACUAAAACAGAAUGAUAAUCAAAUGCAGGAACAUUUUUCAAAUGUCAACAAUAAAAUAAAUGUUGUUUCUGACAGCAUUCAAACUUUCAAAUCUCAUCUGAACAAUGUAGAAUCCACUAUGGUGCACCAAGUUAACGAUAGCUUUGUACUGUCCUGCAACUUAUUGCUUAAGUAUUUUCCUGGGGAUUUUAAGAUGCACCCAGUUGAUUUUAUAUGUCAAUGUAGGAAUAGCUUUCCUGCUGGCAUUUCUGACUCAGCUAAGAUAAAAUUAGCAAAAUGGUUUCUUGAUGGCGAAGCCUUGUCUUGGGUCAAUCAGCAUAUUAAAGCAGAAAUUACAUUUAAAGAGUUUGAGCAGUUAUUCUUAAACAAAGUCUGGUCAGCAGACAAACAGGCCAGCAUUAAAAGUGCAUUUUUAAAUGGUAUCCAUUACAGGCCUGGUAAUAUAUCAAUGUGGGAAUUCUGUGAGACAGCUGUGUAAGCUUGCUCAUUUCAACAAACCACUAGAUGAUGUAAUACUUAUAGAUGCUUAAGGAGACGUUUGCCCAGAAGAGCUCAAUGAGGUCUAGCCUGCGGUCCCGAUGACUCAAUUGACAAUUUAGUAAGGCAUGUUGAUAAAUUAGGAAAGGCUUUAGAUGAGGAAGACAGAUACAAAAAUCUCCAUAGCGUGUGCAGAUCUCAAUUACACAUUUUACUAUGUGCAGAUCUUAGUCUACUUUCAGUUUUAUGCCAAUGCUUAAUCAAACCUUAUUAUGCAUUUUCUAGUGUGACAGAAUUAUCAAUAUUAAUUUUAGGGGUUACAUCAUUAAUCUUCCAUUUCCAAAGAUGUUAAUGUUUUGUCAAUUGUUUGUUCUUUGCAGGGAAGUUGGAACGGCAGUUGAAUGCACAUGGCUGGCGUUGAUGGAACGACAGGACUUUGAAAAUGUUUUGUAUUUUUCAUGAAUAAACAAAGAUGACUCAAAA